rnacentral:misc_RNA from 1 species
AAGUCGUAACAAGGUUUCCGUAGGUGAACCUGCGGAAGGAUCAUUAUCAAAUAGGCCGGGGGGCAACCCCCAGCGUCUAUAUCCUCUGAUUAAACUACCUUUGUUGCUUUGGCAGACCGUGGCAUUGCGCCCCGGCGGUCAGGCGCUUGCCUGCCUGCCGAGUGUCUGUCAGAGACCCAACCAAACCCUUUAUUAACAAUAUUGACCAGUCUGAACAAAUAACAAAUAAGUUAAAACUUUCAACAACGGAUCUCUUGGUUCUG